rnacentral:rRNA from 1 species
UGAACGCUGGCGGCGUGCCUAAUACAUGCAAGUCGAGCGAACGGACGAGAAGCUUGCUUCUCUGAUGUUAGCGGCGGACGGGUGAGUAACACGUGGAUAACCUACCUAUAAGACUGGGAUAACUUCGGGAAACCGGAGCUAAUACCGGAUAAUAUUUUGAACCGCAUGGUUCACAAGUGAAAGACGGUCUUGCUGUCACUUAUAGAUGGAUCCGCGCUGCAUUAGCUAGUUGGUAAGGUAACGGCUUACCAAGGCAACGAUGCAUAGCCGACCUGCGAGGGUGAUCGGCCACACUGGAACUGAGACACGGUCCAGACUCCUACGGGAGGCAGCAGUAGGGAAUCUUCCGCAAUGGGCGAAAGCCUGACGGAGCAACGCCGCGUGAGUGAUGAAGGUCUUCGGAUCGUAAAACUCUGUUAUUAGGGAAGAACAUAUGUGUAAGUAACUGUGCACAUCUUGACGGUACCUAAUCAGAAAGCCACGGCUAACUACGUG